rnacentral:lncRNA from 1 species
AUGCAUUUCCAUUGUUUAAUAUUGUGGAUAAUUUUUAAUCAAUUUCUUUGUCUGAAGGUGAACACUCCCUAUCCUGGAAACCAAGAAGUCCUUAAUGACCAUGGUGCUAAAGUAAACAGAGAUUCCUGGGGACUGCACAGCUCAGCACACUUAAAAGGAGAAAAGGGAGACAGAGGUGCUCCAGGACCACCAGGUCCACCUCUGCCUCCAUCAUAUUUCAGCCAUUUUAUUAAUAGCAUAAAGGUAAUUAUAUCCCAUUUGUGUUUGAGUUCUAUUAAGCUUUUUUUAAGAAUUAAUUUUUAAAAAAUAAAUUAAGCUCAAAGCAAUGCA